rnacentral:piRNA from 1 species
UCCUCUCAAGGCUCGGCUUUCCACUCAAG